CUGGAACACAGUUCAAUCAUGGCGAGGUCGAUUUCGCUGAAAGUGCUUCUUGCGCUUGUGGUGGUGUCUUCGAUUCUAAUGGCAUCAUCGUCCAGCUCGAGUUGGGGAGCCGACGCUCGUUAUCUCCCCACUCGAUCUGAUCCACUAUCACCAAUUGGGCCUCCUCGCGGCGAAGAUCCACGAUUCGACCGUCUCUACGACAUCAUUAGAGAGCUAUUCCGAGAUGGCGGAGGCGACGUAUUGGAUGAAGCCAAGUAUCAAAUCCAAAGCCAGUUGAACAGUGGCCAAUACUGAAAUGAAAGGCCUGGAAGCUCAUCUCUCUAUGCGGAUAGCCUCGUUAUUCCACCGCCAUUUCCAAACAUCUCAAUAGUUUCUGAUUUAUUUCCUCUUUUCCAAGGCACGAAAGUGUAAACCAAAAUUAUAUCGCAAGAGGUAAACUAUAGAACUCAUCUUCGUCUGCAGGUGCAAAGCCCAAGCAACCAUUAUCGAAGCAUAAAUACAUACCGCUUGUAACUUA